rnacentral:ncRNA from 1 species
CCAUAGUAGUAACGAACUGUGAGAAGUCAGCAGAAGCCGUAGUAGGCAUAGCUCUGAAACGUGCUUUGCCAAAGGGC